AACGAACGCUGGCGGCAUGCCUAACACAUGCAAGUCGAACGAGACCUUCGGGUCUAGUGGCGCACGGGUGCGUAACGCGUGGGAACCUGCCCUUAGGUUCGGAAUAACUCCCCGAAAGGGGUGCUAAUACCGGAUAAUGUCUUCGGACCAAAGAUUUAUCGCCUUUGGAUGGGCCCGCGUUGGAUUAGCUAGUUGGUAGGGUAAAAGCCUACCAAGGCGACGAUCCAUAGCUGGUCUGAGAGGAUGAUCAGCCACACUGGGACUGAGACACGGCCCAGACCCCUACGGGAGGCAGCAGUGGGGAAUAUUGGACAAUGGGCGAAAGCCUGAUCCAGCAAUGCCGCGUGAGUGAUGAAGGCCUUAGGGUUGUAAAGCUCUUUUACCCGGGAUGAUAAUGGCAGUACCGGGAGAAUAAGCGCCGGCUAACUCCGUG
rnacentral:rRNA from 1 species